CUUUUGCUUCAGCCAAUGGGGCUGUUCUGUGGACCACCCACAAACCUGGGUGGAGCUGGACUGUCAAGCUCAACUUUGACCUCAGAUAUCCCAACGGUAAACACGAGCACCAGACCUGACUGGGUGGUUGAGGGAGCUCCUGGUGAAAUGUGCUGAGGUUUCUGCUGAGGUUUCUACCUCAGCUCCACGGCCUGGCCAGUUCAAUGGAUUGAAGAAAAUGUUCACUGAAGGAAGAUGAUUAAUUGAUCCAGAGGGCCUGUAGCAACUCUGUUUAACAUGCUAGAUGAGCCAGUCUUAUUCAAUGAUGACUAAGGAUCUGGAGAAAACUGGUGUCAGAAAUCAUAUUUAAAGAGAAGAAUCCUGGAGAUAUCAUUGCCUCAGCCUAAAGAAAAGAAUCAACAAAAUAAUGCUCUCCAAGCAGAAGGUGCCAAUGGUGAAACCAGGAGGCAGAGAGUUUCAAAAUCAUAUGUGUGUCACUCUCAUGAAAACAAAAAUCAGCUGCAACCACAGAGCUCACUGUCAUUUUAAUAAUAUGACUUUAUUAUUCCAAGAAAUUCUUGCCUAGGAAGAUGAAAUUAAGAAUAACUUUAUUCUUAAUUAUUCAGGAAAUAUUCCUUAUUUCUGGAACUUCUGGAAAAUCCCUUUUUUUUUUUUUUUUCUGAAUAGACCUCUCAGCUAGCCUCAUUAUCCCUUCUCAGUAUGCCAGCUGUCUCAAUGGCUCACCAUACAACUGACUGCUACUCAAGACUCCAUUCAAAAUCUCACCUUGUUUCAUCUGUCUUACAACAUUGUCAUGACCUUUGCCCAAUCCCAACCAAGUACCCUCCCCAUACUUCCACCAGUGAAAGACUCACCUUAAAUCAGACCCCCAGACCUCAUGAAGGUCUUUGCCUGCUCACCCUCCCAGAUGCUAUUGAGACACUGUCAAGGGAAUGGUCUUCCUUAUUCCAGUAAGCAAUAAACUUGUCUCAGCUUCGGCCACAGUUUACUGAGGGUGAUAUCUUCAGGUAAUCAGCAGCCAAUACACCUAUGUGGUCUCCAGUGAGUGUUAAAAGUUGUGUGUGCAAAAAUGUCACUCAAAACAUGUAGUUUGGAAAUGAGAAUUUUGUUAACUAAAAGGUGCAGUGUUUGAACAUGCUUACUAGCUUUACAGUGGAAAACCUGGGGUCAGAAAACGCACAUCUCAACUGCUUAAGAAACAGCAGUUCUCAGAAGCUAGCAGAGAGUUGCUGCUCUCUCCAACUCACCCACCACCUCCAACAGAAAUGGGAAAGGUUCCCUUGUCCCCCUCGCAGGACUUGUGAGAAGGGAAGUGGCUCGCUUCUUCAGUGCCCCGCUGCUCUAGGGGAGCAUACAGACAGGCAGGCUCUGGGGCUCUGACCCCACGGCAGAGUCUAGGGGUGGAUGUUUAUAGCUCCUGAAGCCCCAGUGGGCGUGUCUUACAGGGUGCUCUUUUAGUUUUGCCAUCUAUAGGCGGCUUGUGUUAACCAGCGCAAUUAGACAAUACCUUGUUGCAAGGACAGAGGGCUUUCUGUAUCCCAGGUUCUUGCCUUGGUAUACCGGAAGAAUCGGAUCACAAGUGGUCUUGGAGAGUGAUUGCAAGGUUUUAUUGAGUGGAAGUAGGUCUCAGCAGAUGGGGGAGCUGGUAGGCAGAUGGUUUUACCCUGGAGCCGGGCUGCUCCGUGGCCUGGGCUCUCUUCCCACUGCCCCAGCCAAACUCGAGUUUUUCUGCUGGUGGAUGGCCUGCUGGCGUCUGUCGGUGUGCUCUUCCACCAGUAUGCUCCCCUAGACGUCCUCUCAAUGUCCAGCCACUUGUGUGUCGGCCUGUUAAGGUCUCUGCGGGGGUUUGUAGACACAGAAUAGGGCAUGGCGGGCCAGGGUGGUCUUGGGAAAUGCAACAUUUAUUUGGAUUCCAAGGCAGGAGUACCUGUCCUCACCUAGGUCCGUGGGCACAGGCCCGGGGGUGGAGCCCUCACCAGGGACCUGCCCUUCUCCUAGCACUUCCCCGCCCUCCUCGCCUAUCACAACUGCAUUGUAAUUACAACUUUGAAGCGCCAGAACUCUAUUUCACUGUCACUUCAUCCAUUACUAACUCUGGAAGUACAGAAAUAAUGAACAUACUGGAUGUUCAUGAGGGGUGAAAAAUAUUUUAAAACUUUGAAGAUUUAUUUGUUUAUAAUUGGCACUUAGAGUAAUGUCUUCACAGGAAGCACAGAACAAUAGAAAAUUACAGCCCAUUAGGAUGUGUAAAGAGAUAGGAUUAAAGAUUGCGAAGGGUGUCAUUUCCUUAAAAGUACCAUUCCAGGCUGGGCGUGGUGACUCACACCUAUAAUCCCAGCACUUUGGGAGGCCGAGGUGGGAGGAUCACCUGAGGUUAGGAGUUCAAGACCAGCCUGGCCAACAUGAUAAAAUCCCGUCUCUACUAAAAAUACAAAAUUUAUCUGGGUGUCCUGGUGUGCGCCUGUAAUCUCAGCUACUCAAGAGGCUGAGGCAGAAGAAUCUCAUGAACCCAGGAGGCAGAGGUUGCAGUGAGACAAGAUUGCACCCUGCACUCUAGCCUGGGCAACAAGAGCAAAACUCCAUCUCAAAAAAAAAAAA